GGGCUCACACAAGCGGUGGAGGAUGUGGCUUAAUUCGAGGCUACGCGAAGAACCUUAUCCUAGAUUUGACAUGCUUGAGAAUUCCUUCGAAAGAAGGAAGUGCCCCUCGGGGAGCUUUUGCACAGGUGCUGCAUGGCUGUCGUCAGCUCGUGUCGUGAGAUGUCGGGUUAAGUCCCUUAACGAGCGAAACCCACAUCCCUAGUUGCCAGCAGUUCGGCUGGGCACUCUAUGGAAACUGCCCGUGAUAAGCGGGAGGAAGGUGUGGAUGACGUCAAGUCCUCAUGGCCCUUACGGGUUGGGCUACACACGUGCUACAAUGGUAGUGACAAUGGGUUAAUCCCAAAAAGCUAUCUCAGUUCGGAUUGUCGUCUGCAACUCGACGGCAUG
rnacentral:rRNA from 1 species